rnacentral:rRNA from 1 species
CAGCAGCCGCGGUAAAACGAAGGGGGCUAGCGUUGUUCGGAUUUACUGGGCGUAAAGCGCACGUAGGCGGAUCGAUCAGUCAGGGGUGAAAUCCUGGAGCUCAACUCCAGAACUGCCUUUGAUACUGUCGAUCUCGAGUCCGGAAGAGGUGAGUGGAACUCCUAGUGUAGAGGUGGAAUUCGUAGAUAUUAGGAAGAACACCAGUGGCGAAGGCGGCUCACUGGUCCGGUACUGACGCUGAGGUGCGAAAGCGUGGGGAGCAAACAGGAUUAGAUACCCCGGUAGUCCCUGUCUCUUAUAC